rnacentral:rRNA from 1 species
UACGGGGGGGGCAAGCGUUGUUCGGAAUUACUGGGCGUAAAGGGUUCGUAGGCGGCCGGCUAAGUCAGACGUGAAAUCCCUCAGCUUAACUGGGGAACUGCGUCUGAGACUGGUCGGCUUGAGUGCAGGAGAGGAACGCGGAAUUCCAGGUGUAGCGGUGAAAUGCGUAGAUAUCUGGAGGAACACCGGUGGCGAAGGCGGCGUUCUGGACUGCAACUGACACUGAGGAACGAAAGCCAGGGGAGCAAACGGG